AUUGAACGCUGGCGGCCGGCCUAACACAUGCAAGUCGAACGAGUGGCGGACGGGUGAGUAAUGUCUGGGAAACUGCCUGAUGGAGGGGGAUAACUACUGGAAACGGUAGCUAAUACCGCAUACCAUCAGAUGUGCCCAGAUGGGAUUAGCUUGUUGGUGGGGUAACGGCUCACCAAGGCGACGAUCCCUAGCUGGUCUGAGAGGAUGACCAGCCAACCGGGAACUGAGACACGGUCCAGACGCCGACGUGAGGCAGCAGUGGGGAAUAUGGCACAAUGGGCGCAAGCCUGAGGCAGCCAUGCCGCGUGGAUGAAGAAGGCCUGCGGGUUGUAAAGUACUUUCAUCGGGGAGGCGUUACCCGCAGAAGAAGCACCGGCUAACUCCGUGCCAGCAGCCGCGGUAAUUC
rnacentral:rRNA from 1 species